rnacentral:rRNA from 1 species
GACGAACGCUGGCGGCGUGCUUAACACAUGCAAGUCGAACGGAAAGGCCCUGCUUUUGUGGGUUGCUCGAGUGGCGAACGGGUGAGUAACACGUGAGUAACCUGCCCUUGACUUUGGGAUAACUUCUGGAAACUGGGGCUAAUACCGGAUAGGAGCUCCUGCUGCAUGGUGGGGGUUGGAAAGUUUCGGCGGUUGGGGAUGGACUCGCGGCUUAUCAGCUUGUUGGUGGGGUAGUGGCUUACCAAGGCUUUGACGGGUAGCCGGCCUGAGAGGGUGACCGGCCACAUUGGGACUGAGAUACGGCCCAGACUCCUAUGGGAGGCAGCAGUGGGGAAUAUUGCACAAUGGGCGGAAGCCUGAUGCAGCAACGCCGCGUGCGGGAUGACGGCCUUCGGGUUGUAAACCGCUUUCGCCUGUGACGAAGCGUGAGUGACGGUAAUGGGUAAAGAAGCACCGGCUAACUACGUG